UACGGGGGGGGGCAAGCGUUGUUCGGAAUUACUGGGCGUAAAGGGCUCGUAGACGGCCAACUAAGUCAGACGUGAAAUCCCUCGGCUUAACCGGGGAACUGCGUCUGAUACUGGAUGGCUUGAGUUCGGGAGAGGGAUGCGGAAUUCCAGGUGUAGCGGUGAAAUGCGUAGAUAUCUGGAGGAACACCGGUGGCGAAGGCGGCAUCCUGGACCGACACUGACGCUGAGGAGCGAAAGCCAGGGGAGCAAACGGG
rnacentral:rRNA from 1 species